rnacentral:misc_RNA from 1 species
GAUGAAGAACGCGGCGAAAUGCGAUAAGUAAUGUGAAUUGCAGAAUUCAGUGAAUCAUCGAAUCUUUGAACGCACAUUGCGCCCCUUGGUAUUCCGAGGGGCAUGCCUGUUCGAGCGUCAUUAUAACCCCUCAAGCUCAGCUUGGUGUUGGGGCCUGCUGCACUGGCAGCCCUUAAAAUCAGUGGCGGCGCCAUCUGGCUCUAAGCGUAGUAAUUCUUCUCGCUAUGGAGUCCUGGUGGAUGCUUGCCAUCAACCCCCAAUUUUUCUAUGGUUGACCUCGGAUCAGGUAGGGAUACCCGCUGAACUUAAGCAUAUCAAUAAGCGGAGGA